GUUGUAUGGUUAAGUGACUAAGCGUACACGGUGGAUGCCUUGGCAGUCAGAGGCGAUGAAAGACGUAGUAACUUGCGAUAAGCCCAGAUUAGGUAGUAACAACCAUUUGAGUCUGGGAUUUCUGAAUGGGGAAACCCACGUGCAUAAGCACGUAUCCUUACCUGAAUACAUAGGGUAAGGAGGCGAACCGGGGGAACUGAAACAUCUAAGUACCCCGAGGAAAAGAAAUCAACCGAGAUUCCGAAAGUAGCGGCGAGCGAAAUUGGACUAGCCCUUAAGCUUUACACGCGUUAGACGAACGGUCUGGAAAGUCCGACGAUACAGGGUGAUAGUCCCGUAGUUGACGACGUGUGUUCAGUGAAAUCGAGUAGGGCGGGACACGUGAUAUCCUGUCUGAAUAUGGGGGGACCAUCCUCCAAGGCUAAAUACUACUGACUGACCGAUAGUGAACCAGUACCGUGAGGGAAAGGCGAAAAGAACCCCUGUGAGGGGAGUGAAAUAGAACCUGAAACCGUGUACGUACAAGCAGUAGGAGCACCUUCGUGGUGUGACUGCGUACCUUUUGUAUAAUGGGUCAGCGACUUAUAUUCAGUGGCAAGGUUAACCAUCUAGGGGAGCCGUAGGGAAACCGAGUCUUAACUGGGCGUUCAGUCUCUGGAUAUAGACCCGAAACCAGGUGAUCUAGCCAUGGGCAGGUUGAAGGUUGAGUAACAUCAACUGGAGGACCGAACCGACUAAUGUUGAAAAAUUAGCGGAUGACUUGUGGCUAGGGGUGAAAGGCCAAUCAAACCUGGAGAUAGCUGGUUCUCCCCGAAAGCUAUUUAGGUAGCGCCUCGGACGAAUACUACUGGGGGUAGAGCACUGUUAAGGCUAGGGGGUCAUCCCGACUUACCAACCCUUUGCAAACUCCGAAUACCAGUAAGUACUAUCCGGGAGACACACGGCGGGUGCUAACGUCCGUCGUGGAGAGGGAAACAACCCAGACCGCCAGCUAAGGUCCCAAAUUACUACUAAGUGGGAAACGAUGUGGGAAGGCUCAGACAGCCAGGAUGUUGGCUUAGAAGCAGCCAUCAUUUAAAGAAAGCGUAAUAGCUCACUGGUCGAGUCGGCCUGCGCGGAAGAUGUAACGGGGCUAAGUAGUAAACCGAAGCUGCGGCAAUAUACUUUUGUAUAUUGGGUAGGGGAGCGUUCUGUAAGCGGUUGAAGGUGUGUGGUAACGCAUGCUGGACGUAUCAGAAGUGCGAAUGCUGACAUGAGUAACGAUAAAGGGGGUGAAAAACCUCCUCGCCGGAAGACCAAGGGUUCCUGUCCAACGUUAAUCGGGGCAGGGUAAGUCGACCCCUAAGGCGAGGCCGAAAGGCGUAGUCGAUGGGAAACGGGUUAAUAUUCCCGUACUUCUUACAAUUGCGAUGGGGGGACGGAGAAGGCUAGGUGGGCCUGGCGACGGUUGUCCAGGUUCAAGUGCGUAGGCUUGAGAGUUAGGUAAAUCCGGCUCUCUUUAAGGCUGAGACACGACGUCGAGCAUCUACGGAUGUGAAGUCAUUGAUGCCAUGCUUCCAGGAAAAGCCUCUAAGCUUCAGAUUGUAAGGAAUCGUACCCCAAACCGACACAGGUGGUCGGGUAGAGAAUACCAAGGCGCUUGAGAGAACUCGGGUGAAGGAACUAGGCAAAAUGGUACCGUAACUUCGGGAGAAGGUACGCUCUCGACGGUGAAGUCCCUCGCGGAUGGAGCUAUUGAGAGUCGCAGAUACCAGGUGGCUGCAACUGUUUAUUAAAAACACAGCACUGUGCAAAAUCGUAAGAUGACGUAUACGGUGUGACGCCUGCCCGGUGCCGGAAGGUUAAUUGAUGGGGUUAGACUUCGGUCGAAGCUCUUGAUCGAAGCCCCGGUAAACGGCGGCCGUAACUAUAACGGUCCUAAGGUAGCGAAAUUCCUUGUCGGGUAAGUUCCGACCUGCACGAAUGGCGUAAUGAUGGCCACGCUGUCUCCACCCGAGACUCAGUGAAAUUGAAAUCGCUGUGAAGAUGCAGUGUACCCGCGGCUAGACGGAAAGACCCCGUGAACCUUUACUACAGCUUGGCACUGAACAUUGACCCUACAUGUGUAGGAUAGGUGGGAGGCUUUGAAGCACGUACGCCAGUAUGUGUGGAGCCGUCCUUGAAAUACCACCCUUGUAGUGUUGAUGUUCUAACGUCGACCCCUUAUCGGGGUUGCGGACAGUGCCUGGUGGGUAGUUUGACUGGGGCGGUCUCCUCCCAAAGAGUAACGGAGGAGCACGAAGGUGGGCUAAUCACGGUUGGACAUCGUGAGGUUAGUGCAAUGGCAUAAGCCCGCUUGACUGCGAGAAUGACAAUUCGAGCAGGUGCGAAAGCAGGUCAUAGUGAUCCGGUGGUUCUGAAUGGAAGGGCCAUCGCUCAACGGAUAAAAGGUACUCCGGGGAUAACAGGCUGAUACCGCCCAAGAGUUCAUAUCGACGGCGGUGUUUGGCACCUCGAUGUCGGCUCAUCACAUCCUGGGGCUGAAGUCGGUCCCAAGGGUAUGGCUGUUCGCCAUUUAAAGUGGUACGCGAGCUGGGUUUAGAACGUCGUGAGACAGUUCGGUCCCUAUCUGCCGUGGGCGUUGGAAGAUUGAAGGGGGCUGCUCCUAGUACGAGAGGACCGGAGUGGACGAACCUCUGGUGUUCGGGUUGUGUCGCCAGACGCAUUGCCCGGUAGCUAAGUUCGGAAUCGAUAACCGCUGAAAGCAUCUAAGCGGGAAGCGAGCCCUGAGAUGAGUCUUCCCUGAUACUUUAAGUAUCCUAAAGGGUUGUCGGAGACUACGACGUUGAUAGGUCAGGUGUGUAAGUGCUGUGAGGCAUUGAGCUAACUGAUACUAAUUGCCCGUGAGGCUUAACCAUACAACACCCAAGGGGUUU
rnacentral:rRNA from 1 species